AACGAACGCUGGCGGCAGGCCUAACACAUGCAAGUCGAGCGCCCCGCAAGGGGAGCGGCGGACGGGUUAGUAACGCGUGGGAAUGUACCCUUUUCUACGGAAUAGCCUCGGGAAACUGAGAUUAGUACCGUAUACGCCCUUCGGGGGAAAGAUUUAUCGGAGAAGGAUCAGCCCGCGUAAGAUUAGAUAGUUGGUGGGGUAAUGGCCUACCAAGUCUACGAUCUUUAGCUGGUUUGAGAGGAUGAUCAGCAACACUGGGACUGAGACACGGCCCAGACUCCUACGGGAGGCAGCAGUGGGGAAUCUUAGACAAUGGGCGCAAGCCUGAUCUAGCCAUGCCGCGUGAGUGAAGAAGGCCUUAGGGUCGUAAAGCUCUUUCAGUGGGGAAGAUAAUGACGGUACCCACAGAAGAAACCCCGGCUAACUCCGUGCC
rnacentral:rRNA from 1 species